CGCGUAGGCGGACUUUCAAGUCGGAUGUGAAAACUGUCGGCUCAACCGGCAGCCUGCAUUCGAUACUGUUGGUCUUGAGUACAGGAGAGGAAAGUGGGAUUCCAGGUGUAGCGGUGAAAUGCGUAGAUAUCUGGAAGAACACCAGUAGCGAAGGCGGCUUUCUGGACUGAUACUGACGCUAAAGCGCGAAGGCUUGGGGAGCAAACA
rnacentral:rRNA from 1 species